GGAAGGAAGAGAGCGGCAAUCGCCAUUUUGUUCACUCUUGGACAGUGUGCUGUGGGAGCUGCCUUGCAGAGAGAAGAGAGACCAUUUAUUUUGUUUAUUCAGCCUCAGAUUAUGAACUCUCAAAGAGCCUUUCCUUCUGAUACAAUGCUAGAAUAAAGCAUUUGUGAAAACCAGCUGAUUACCUGAGCAGGCUGGAGUUGGCAUUUGCAGCUGAGUUUAUAGAGCUCUCAGCGGUGGCAGGGUAUUUCAGUCUGAUCUGAGAAGCAGUUUUAAAAUAUUGGGCGACGAGAUUUUGAACAAGCUAUGUGGGUAAGCCUGCAAAGCUUGUGAAAGUUCCUGCAUCUUCCAUCUAUUGCAUUCCUGGGCCCACAUUCCUGAACUGCUGCAUUCUACUAUUGCUGCUACUGAUUGUUUCUCAGGCUUCCUGACCUGCAGAACCCCAAAGGAAUCUCCCUGGGCGAGGAGCACAAAAGAACUUCCAAUACUUCAAUGGAACAACAUUAUCUUCCAUUUUCCCCCACUCUGUGCAGGCAGCUGAUGUACAAAAACGUGUAAUUACCAUCUGACAUAGAAGUGAUUGUGUGAGCCUGAAAAUCAGGAAUGCUAACUCUUCUCAAAAUAAAUUUCAAUUUGACGCGGUGAAUUUUACA